CCUACGGGAGGCAGCAGUGGGGAAUAUUGGGCAAUGGGCGCAACCCUGACCCAGCAACGCCGCGUGAGGGAAGAAGGCUCUCGGUUUGUAAACUUCUUUUAUCAAGGACGAAAAUAAUGACGGUUCUCGAAGAAUAAGCCACUGCGAACUACGCACCAGCAGCCGCGGUAAUACGGAGGUGGCAAGCGUUAUCCGGAUUUACUGGGUGAAAAGGGCGUGUAGGCGGGACUGCAAGUCAGAUGUGAAAACCAGGGGCUCAACCCAUGGCCUGCAUUUGAAACUGUAGUUCUUGAGUGUUGGAGAGGCAGGUGGAAUUCCGUGUGUAGCGGUGAAAUGCGUAGAUAUACGGAGGAACACCAGUGGCGAAGGCGGCCUGCUGGACAAUAACUGACGCUGAGGCGCGAAAGCGUGGGGAGCAAACAGGAUUAGAUACCCGAGUAGUC
rnacentral:rRNA from 1 species